AGCAUAUGCGUGCUCUCCUCGAUGCAUACAGGCGGCGCCGCCGCGGGCGCUCCUCGAUCCAUACGGGCGGCGCCGCCACCACCUGCGGCUGGUCUUCUUGUCCAGCCAUCUACCGCCCUUCUCCCCUUCCCAUUCGCUGCCCUCCUCUACCCUCCCGCCCCUAAUCUUAUCUGGCACUACCCCCAGCCUCCUGCUGCCGUGCCUCGAUCCAUACGGGCGUCACCGCCGGCGGGGGGCGGUCUUCUUCUCCGGCCAUCCGCCGCCCUCCUCCCCUCCCCCUCCCUCCUAAUCUUCUUCUUCUUCUCUGGCCAUCCGUCGCCCUCCUCAAAUCCCGCGGAGUUUGCCGGAGGAAAACCAUCCGUCGUCCGAACGUGCCACACCAGAGGGAAGCACCGGAAAGAGGAUGUUUCUAUGCAGCAUAACCCAAAAGUUUAAUUUGAUGUAUUCCAUCAAGCGUUGUACAAAGGAGCUCAACGACAACUAAGGUGCUGCUGGAAUUACAUCAGCUACUAACUUACGUAUAUACAUAAAAAACUGCAGCUUUAGCUCCAUGUAGUAAUGACUAAGUAUAUUCUAAUGCUCAUAGGUACUGAUUACUAUUUUUUACAGGUUAAUCUAAUCAAUUCCUUGGCAUACUUUAGGAAACGAGGGUAUAUUGGGCGGUCUCCGACAGCCCGACGACAAUACAGAGUCGUCGUAGUUGGGUUGUGUUCAUGUAACACUGAAACUUGUCAUAGUUAGUAUAAGAAGGUUUGGUUUACUUCCACUAUGUUACUGUUCAGUCUAUUUUAUAAACAUGUUGAUUAGCCAUUCUGGCAAAGAGGCAUCUUCAAUAAUUCAUAAAUCUCUUUUCCAGAAACUCCAAUUCUCCUUAUAGGAAUUGAGAUGCCCAAUAUUUCUCAAUUUGCUGACAAGGCUGUAAUAUAAUCACGUUUUGCUAUUGACGUAAUGCUAUAUUCCUUGACUGAAAGCAAACCCUUUAAUUGCAUCUGUACUAAGCAUUCUUUCCGUCUAUAUCUUGUCAUGAUUUUUUUACUAGCUGCAGUGGUGUUCUUAUUAUUGUUAUUUUCCAGAAUUAUUGGUAUAAACCUUGUUCAUGGCUAACUUAUAGAAUAGCAAACCUGGUUCAUGGCUAACUUAUAGAAUAGCAAACCUUGUUCAUGGCUAACUUAUACAAUAGCAGAAACUGAUUUGAAAAACCAUCAAUCUCAGGAACACUCUGACCAUGUAUUUGAUUCUGUUAAAGACCCAAUAUAUCAUGUGGUCCUGCAUCUCCUGAUGUUGAGCCAUAUAGACUGGUAUUUCCAGUAAAUUUUAUUGACAGGCACUUCGGCGUCGUUAACAAUUGACAGGCACUUUGGUGUCUCAGCAACCAGGUCGACACCGACCACCACGGUGGCUCGCAGCGAUGCCCUCCCGCCACCCUAUGUACGACCAGCGGCGAGAUGGGCGGGAACUCUUUGGCGUGCCGGCACACAGGAACGACACACGCCGUACAACCUGAAGGACAUGUUCGUCAGGCUUAACUUGACCUUCACUGACGCCACCUUGCCACCUCUGUUGCUGGAGAUCAGCCGAAGACUUAGCUUGUUGCCGCUUUGCUUCAAUGGUUGCUUUAAUGCUCUUGGACUGUCCGUAAUGAGCAGCUGAUGGUGCUUGGACGAAACAAUUGAUCAGAAAAUGGGUAGUGCUGUGCUGGUGGUCAUGUGUCCGCUGACUAAUUGUAAAACACCUAAGAUGAUUUUUUCAGGACUUGAUACAUUCCAAUUACUCAUUGGCGUCU